rnacentral:rRNA from 2 species
AGAGUUUGAUCAUGGCUCAGAUUGAACGCUGGCGGCAGGCCUAACACAUGCAAGUCGAACGGUAACAGGAAACAGCUUGCUGUUUCGCUGACGAGUGGCGGACGGGUGAGUAAUGUCUGGGAAACUGCCUGAUGGAGGGGGAUAACUACUGGAAACGGUAGCUAAUACCGCAUAACGUCGCAAGACCAAAGAGGGGGACCUUCGGGCCUCUUGCCAUCGGAUGUGCCCUGAUGGGAUUAGCUUGUUGGUGGGGUAACGGCUCACCAAGGCGACGAUCCCUAGCUGGUCUGAGAGGAUGACCAGCCACACUGGAACUGAGACACGGUCCAGACUCCUACGGGAGGCAGCAGUGGGGAAUAUUGCACAAUGGGCGCAAGCCUGAUGCAGCCAUGCCGCGUGUAUGAAGAAGGCCUUCGGGUUGUAAAGUACUUUCAGCGGGGAGGAAGGGAGUAAAGUUAAUACCUUUGCUCAUUGACGUUACCCGCAGAAGAAGCACCGGCUAACUCCGUGCCAGCAGCCGCGGUAAUACGGAGGGUGCAAGCGUUAAUCGGAAUUACUGGGCGUAAAGCGCACGCAGGCGGUUUGUUAAGUCAGAUGUGAAAUCCCCGGGCUCAACCUGGGAACUGCAUCUGAUACUGGCAAGCUUGAGUCUCGUAGAGGGGGGUAGAAUUCCAGGUGUAGCGGUGAAAUGCGUAGAGAUCUGGAGGAAUACCGGUGGCGAAGGCGGCCCCCUGGACGAAGACUGACGCUCAGGUGCGAAAGCGUGGGGAGCAAACAGGAUUAGAUACCCUGGUAGUCCACGCCGUAAACGAUGUCGACUUGGAGGUUGUGCCCUUGAGGCGUGGCUUCCGGAGCUAACGCGUUAAGUCGACCGCCUGGGGAGUACGGCCGCAAGGUUAAAACUCAAAUGAAUUGACGGGGGCCCGCACAAGCGGUGGAGCAUGUGGUUUAAUUCGAUGCAACGCGAAGAACCUUACCUGGUCUUGACAUCCACGGAAGUUUUCAGAGAUGAGAAUGUGCCUUCGGGAACCGUGAGACAGGUGCUGCAUGGCUGUCGUCAGCUCGUGUUGUGAAAUGUUGGGUUAAGUCCCGCAACGAGCGCAACCCUUAUCCUUUGUUGCCAGCGGUCCGGCCGGGAACUCAAAGGAGACUGCCAGUGAUAAACUGGAGGAAGGUGGGGAUGACGUCAAGUCAUCAUGGCCCUUACGACCAGGGCUACACACGUGCUACAAUGGCGCAUACAAAGAGAAGCGACCUCGCGAGAGCAAGCGGACCUCAUAAAGUGCGUCGUAGUCCGGAUUGGAGUCUGCAACUCGACUCCAUGAAGUCGGAAUCGCUAGUAAUCGUGGAUCAGAAUGCCACGGUGAAUACGUUCCCGGGCCUUGUACACACCGCCCGUCACACCAUGGGAGUGGGUUGCAAAAGAAGUAGGUAGCUUAACCUUCGGGAGGGCGCUUACCACUUUGUGAUUCAUGACUGGGGUGAAGUCGUAACAAGGUAACCGUAGGGGAACCUGCGGUUGGAUCACCU